rnacentral:lncRNA from 10 species
UGUCAAAGCACUUCAAUUAAAACACAGAAACUAUAGAAAAUCAUCUGGUAAACAUGCUGAUGAUGUCCUAAACCUGAUCACUUGUCUCAAAAUUUAGAAAGUUAAUGGCUGAAGAUUCAGCAGCCAUUCUGAACUGGAAAUUACAUGUUAAGGCUGUUAUAGAAGAAAUAAAGAAAUUAAAUCUCUAUGUCCCCAAGGUAUCUCUAUACCGGCCUGGAAUGCCUAUCUCCAAACCUCCUUUACAUGAGACAGAAACAGCUUCUAUCACCUUAAAAUCUGUUACUUUAGGUUUUUUUCAUUAUGAGCAGCUAAAAUGAAUCUUACUUGAUACAGUGUGAGUGUUCAUGGAUUAGGGCAUUGUUUGAUAAGAGGAGUAAGAAAAGAAUAUAAAUUGUAUUGGCCCUGAUAUGCCACAAACAAUGAGGGCUGAAGCCAAAUUAAUCAAAGAAUAAACUCAAAUACAAAGAACAA